rnacentral:lncRNA from 1 species
GUCCGAUUUCAUCUCUACGUACCGUUCAAUAGUAAGAAGGUCGAUUCUAUAACAUCGUUUAUACAAUUUGUUCUACACAAUGAGCUUUUUUUUUGCGUUUGUGAAAUAAGUCGGAUUGCGAUUUGACUGAGUAGAAGAUGUUUCAGUUUGGUACAGAUUCCUUUAACUGGGGAUAGCCUCCAUUCAUCUCUAUACCCACUGAUUCGACCGACACGCUUCUUCGAUAUCAUCUAUGAGGUUUGACCUUUUUCCCACUCACAUAUCUUGGUAAUUAAGAAGAAUUGCUCCACUGUUUUUCAUUAUCUUGAAAAUCAAACAGAUGGCAUUUCCGUUCCGUAUUAGAAAGGAAACAGCACUUGGAACUAUGGUUUCUUAGGUAUUUAGCUGCUUCUUUGAUUUCGUUUAGUGAAGCAGAGUUUUUAGAAGAUAAGAUUACAAAACUGACUCUUACUUUCCUUCAAUUUUCUAUUAACCUUCUUUUAUCUUCCAGACCAUAGUGGUUAAUGUAAAGAGAUAUAGAUAUGGUUAAUCAACUAAACAGCGCUCCAAUGCAUGGGUUUUAUCCAAUUACUCAAAUUUUUAAAUUGAGUUUUGGUACAUGUUUCAAGCCAUUCGAUAACACAUAGCACAACUCGAGCCAUUUUCCCGAGUUUACGGUGCUAGAUGGCUAGAGUUCAACGUGUAUGUUUGUUUUUUUUCUAAGAUUGUUCUUUCGCUAGGUAACUAUGUCCAGCAAAUGUUGAUGUGAUUUAAGGAGAAUGAAGUGAUAUUAGGGUUUAAAGUGAACUUCGUUAGUCAUUUUAUUACCAUGGUUAUUUAACUACUCACAUGAAAUAUUUUUUAUUUGGUUUCCUCAACCACAGGUACAAGAAAAGGUGAAUAAAUGAAGUUAUAGAUCAUGAGUGAUAAUAUUAAUCUCCAUCGUUGACCAGAUAUCACCAAACACUAGAGGAGUAAUAAGGAACUAAAGAAAUCAUCCAGCGAUAUCAAAAGAUGUUCUUGGUAAGACCCAUGAACUUUUUUGAUGAUGUUUUGUGACUUGUGAACACAACUAGAAACUUUAAGGCAUUUGAGUUGUCGUCCAACCUUAAAGAUCUACUCUUUUUGGUAAGAGUCUUCACAUAAUAUGAAUGUCAGACCAUCCCUGAUGACCAAAAAAAACAAUGGCUGCGGAAGGGCAACUAGAAGGGUCACCACCAAUGAAAUAAAACGUCACAUACAGAGCCAUACAAAUUAAAUCAACAAGAGAGUAAAAUUCCAAACUUCAAAGAGUUUGCUUGAAGAUCGUACGAGUAGUUGGCACAUGAAUAAUUCUGGUGACAAGGGGACAAUGGAGUUAGUCUACUGCUAUGGUAUAUGUUCUCAAAGAAGAACAAGGGAAUGUAUCAAUGUAACGAAGCUGGGUCACAUGAUAUAUAUAACAUGACAAUCAGAGGCUA